CGAGUUGCAGCCCUCAAUCCGGACUAAGAUUGGCUUUAGGAGAUUCCAUCCCCUUUCGGGGUAGAUACCCAUUGUACCAACCAUUGUAGCUCGCGUGUAGCCCGGGAUAUUCGGGGCAUACUGACCUACCGUUGCCCAUUCCUUCCUCCGCUUUAGNCAGCGGCGGUCCCCACAGUGUACCCGUCACUCCGGAGAGUACGCUGGCAACUGUGGGCGUGGGUCUCGCUCGUUGCCNGACUUAACAGGAUGCUUCACGUACGAACUGACGACGGCCAUGCACCACCUCUCAGCUAAUCCGGCAAAG
rnacentral:rRNA from 1 species